rnacentral:rRNA from 1 species
UAUUGAAAUUCUAACCUACGGGUCUUAUCGACCCGGGAGACAGUGUCAGGUGGGCAGUUUGACUGGGGCGGUCGCCUCCUAAAGUGUAACGGAGGCGCCCAAAGGUUCCCUCAGAAUGGUUGGAAAUCAUUCGUAGAGUGCAAAGGCAUAAGGGAGCUUGACUGCGAGACCUACAAGUCGAGCAGGGACGAAAGUCGGGCUUAGUGAUCCGGUGGUUCCGCAUGGAAGGGCCAUCGCUCAACGGAUAAAAGCUACCCCGGGGAUAACAGGCUUAUCUCCCCCAAGAGUCCACAUCGACGGGGAGGUUUGGCACCUCGAUGUCGGCUCAUCGCAUCCUGGGGCUGUAGUCGGUCCCAAGGGUUGGGCUGUUCGCCCAUUAAAGCGGUACGCGAGCUGGGUUCAGAACGUCGUGAGACAGUUCGGUCCCUAUCCGUCGUGGGCGUAGGAAAUUUGAGAGGAGCUGUCCUUAGUACGAGAGGACCGGGAUGGACGCACCGCUGGUGUACCAGUUGUUCUGCCAAGGGCAUCGCUGGGUAGCUAUGUGCGGAAGGGAUAAGUGCUGAAAGCAUCUAAGCAUGAAGCCCCCCUCAAGAUGAGAUUUCCCAUAGCGUAAGCUAGUAAGAUCCCUGAAAGAUGAUCAGGUUGAUAGGUUCGAGGUGGAAGCGUGGUGACACGUGGAGCUGACGAAUACUAAUAGAUCGAGGGCUUAACCAUAUAUC